rnacentral:tRNA from 1 species
CGGCAGGUAGCCUAGCGGUUAAGAGCAUUGGGCCAAUAAUCAAAAGGUCGCUGGUUCGAAUCCCCAUGCCGA